UUAUGGCAAUAUUUUAUGUAUAAAAUAUAACAAUUACAUUUAAAAAGUGCUUAUUUCUGACAAAAACUUGUAUUUUCUUAAGGGUUAGAUGGUGUUUCAUUACCCCCUCUGGCUCCCAAGAUACACCUUACAUCCAGGCACCAAAAUGAACUUGUAGCCCAUUAGUGCACCUAUCUUGUGAUACCAAGAUAUAGAUUUUUAAAGCAAUACAAGAUUGAAUUUAGUAUAAGGCUAAAUUUCUGCUCUGGAGACAAAAAAGGAAGACAGCAAAAAUGACCAGUCAAAAUAAAGAUUAAAGAGACAAAAAAUUGUGUAUAUCUUGGUGUAGAUGAUUUAUCCUCAUUUUCUUAUAAUAAAACAAAAAAUAUUAUUAAACUUUGGGAUUUACCUGUAACUCCAAAAUCUUUACAGAAGUUUAAUGUUUGCUCUGAGAAGUUGAAUGAACAAAUUUAUUAAAUGUGUUCAUUCAUAGUCGUCAUUGAAGUACAACUUGGUAAACUACAAAACACAUCAAAUUCAGUUAUAAAAAUUUGAGUAACAAAGGUAUACUAAUUAUUGUAUUUCCUGAAAGAGUGUCAUUGCUAUUAAAAGCAGUGAAGAAUUCAAGUACUCUGGAAGAAAAGAAAAUACGUAAGUAAAUGGUCAAUUAUUUGGCACAAAUCGGAGUUAAAGACAAAGAAGAUUGUAUAUUUUAUUUGCUAAGAAUAGUUUUUUAAAAUGGCCUAGUUGUAAAAUUAAACUAUGCAAGGAGAGGAC